UUGCAAAUCUGGCCUUGGGAUAGCAUUCAAAAUGUGCGAAAAUAUCCGGUCAAACUAAGUGAAAUCUCCACAGCUGAUGAUGACUCAAUGUGCUCUAAGCACUAGCACUGGAAAAAAAAAACCUAGCAAAACUUGUAGAAGUUAUUAUCCUUUCUGCCUCUUCUUGCUGGCUUUGGGAAGCACAAGUUAUGAUUACUUCACAUGCUUACCAUUUUCAGAUCUCUCUCCCCUUUGUCAGGAAAGGUACUUGCUGAGCCUGAGUGAAGAGUAAGAAAGUUCUAACUAGGUUAUUUACUGGACUCUUAUGCCAGAUGGGAGCUGCAUAUGAUUACUCAGUGUUUCUUGCUGAGCACACUAAGGGCAUUGGACAAAAUCAUCAGGCACCAGCCCAGGAAAAAUGAAAGGUGCUUAAGUUUAAGUAGAGUGUAGCAAAGAAGAACCCUAUUCAAGUGCCAAGACAGCUUAAUAAGGAGAGCAUUUUGUUUCUCACUGGCUUGCACACUGUUCUGAAAAGAAGACAGAAGGCCAAAAGACCACCAGAAUAUUUCUCCUUUUACAGAAAACCAGUUGUUCUGGAGUAUCAAACAUGUGCAUAAGACAAUGUGGAUCACCAGUUUCCAUCUCAGAAAAAAUAAAGUGCAUGUGUGCAUGAAUGCAGUGAUAUUACAUCUAAUAGAAACAUAGAGAACAGAGCUGACUAAUUUGUGGAUUAAAUAUAAUAGUUUCAUUUUCCUUAGGUUUAUGUCUUAGGGAGAAUAAAAAAUUAUAAAUAAAAAUUAUCCUAAAUAAUAAGUAACUUAAAACUUUUUGUUUAUUACAAUAUUUUGCCACUAAAAUAUGUGGAUUGCAGUCAUUUGACAGCUCUAAUGACUCAUGACCAUGUCCAGUGGACUACAGCCAUGCUAACCCAAUGUACCAUGCAGGAAGAACAGGAUACCUGAAAAAAACACAUUCUUGAAUUUGAGUGAAGGCAUCUGAGUUCCAGUGGUGGAGAAAUAGAUUGACCAUAGUAUUGUCAAAGCAUAAUUUUAAGCCAUAGUGGCCCACAUCUAGUGCCAAAAAAUGUAGUUCUGUACAGAACUUUAUGUGUUAUAGAUAAAAUCGACUCUUUCUUUGACUUCACUUUACUUUGCUUUAACCACUGAGAAAUGGAUGCAUGCUUACCAACCAAUUAGCUCAGGUGGGAGAGGUAUGGGAAACACAAAGAAAAGCUCUCUGAUUUAAAUUGCUUAGAAAAAAAUUGGGCAUUUCCAACACGGGUGUUUUUUGGUUUUUUGAGUUUUUUUUAAGGAAAGAGUUUGUUGAAAUAAAGCUAUUCCAUUACUGAUAUUUAAUUAAGUAGUAGUGAAUGCCAUUCAAAUGAUAUCUCACCUGUUUAGAGAGGAAUGAGGUUAAGAAAGUUAUUCCUUAUCCAUCCCAGCUAUGAACUGUGAACAUUUGGCUGAAACUCAGUGACAGUAGAACCUGACUUAUUCCCAAGAUUCAGACUUUGAGCAGUCCCCUCUUCCUUUGUCCACAGAAGAAUAUUUUAUUUGCCUAUAUCAUGUGACAGACAUUGCAUAUAGCAGAGUGACUGAUAUAUGGAUGUAUGGAUACUGCCAGUGUCCUACUAGGUAAUGAAACUACUACACAUAAGAGAUCUGUAGACUCUGGCUACACAGCAGGCCAAGCAGUAGCAGAAAACUUCCAAUUGAGGAAGCGAGAGAAAUGAGAGAACCAGAGGUAAGCCUGGUUUUUAAUCAGAGGUAAGCUGCAGAGCAUUGUGAUCUAAUAUCCUACAAGAUACCUAAGUUGUCAAAGUCAUAAUUGAAUCUUCUAUUAUCUUGACAUCUAGAGUGCAAUAAUUUUUUAAAAAUUUUAUUUUAUUUUAUUUUUUUUUCCUGAGUGAAUAACUAUAAAGUCAUGUUAGAACACAUAUCUCAUACAAGGACCUUCACUUUCUUUGCUCCUUUUCUUAUGUGUAGGGUGCCUACGAUUCUGGAUAGGUGCUAGCUGUUCCAAGCAUUUUUGGACAGAAUAUCAGUGAAAGAAGGAGAAGAAGUGCACAGACAAGCAAUUUCCAAUUCAAUUUUUACUGAAUGUUUUGAGAAAGGUUCAUUAAAAUGUUGUUGUUGUUGUUUGGUUCCUUUGAUGCUUUUUUUUUCUAUGUAAUACCAUGAAAAUGGUGAGGGUCUUUGCUGCUGAAACUACCUUGGUUGUAUACAAAUACAACCUAGAACAUUUAUCAAAUGUCUAUGUUUUCCAUACCAAAGCCUCAACUAGGUACUGAAUGUAUUUAUAUUGAUUUAAAUGCAUAGUAAUAUUUUAAAGUUAUAUAAUAUUGAA